UUUUUUGAGAGUUCUGGAAGUUAUCUAUUGCAAUCUCAUUUAAAAAUUCAGGCAUCUAAUUUCUGAUACUAGUUCUUGUGCUGAGGAAAGAAAGCAAAAUAACGAUAGAAGAGGCAUGAACAAGGUUUAAACAUCAAACGAUACAUAAACAAACUGACAUUGCAUAUGUGGAAUUUCAAAUGUCAGCAACUUGAUUCAAGCAUGUUAAUUACUAGGAGACUAACAUUGAGACCUCAAGCUAAAUUCCCAAAUGUAAUGUCCAAAUUUUUAAUGCAACAAUCAACCUAAUUUCAGAUCAACAGCCAGCUGCUAUUCAAAAGCUGUCUAUUUUACCAAGUCUAAUUCAUAUUAGUAUCUCAUGCGCCAGAACUCAAUUCAAAGCACUGUAGUCAUUCAAUGCUAUAGUGCAUACUACCCAUAUAUUAAAAAAAUCUCUUAUGCUGUAAUUGAGCAAACAAGGGGGAAAAAAUCAUCUACUACUC
rnacentral:misc_RNA from 1 species